UGCAGUCGACGAGAUCUUCGGAUCUAGUGGCGCACGGGUGCGUAACGCGUGGGAAUCUGCCCUUGGGUUCGGAAUAACUUCUGGAAACGGAAGCUAAUACCGGAUGAUGACGUAAGUCCAAAGAUUUAUCGCCCAAGGAUGAGCCCGCGUAGGAUUAGCUAGUUGGUGAGGUAAAGGCUCACCAAGGCGACGAUCCUUAGCUGGUCUGAGAGGAUGAUCAGCCACACUGGGACUGAGACACGGCCCAAACUCCUACGGGAGGCAGCAGUAGGAAAUAUUGGACAAUGGGCGAAAGCCUGAUCCAGCAAUGCCGCGUGAGUGAUGAAGGCCUUAGGGUUGUAAAGCUCUUUUACCCGGGAUGAUAAUGACAGUACCGGGAGAAUAAGCUCCGGCUAACUCCGUGCCAGCAGCCGCGGUAAUACGGAGGGAGCUAGCGUUGUUCGAAAUUACUGGGCGUAAAGCGCACGUAGGCGGCUAUUCAAGUCAGAGGUGAAAGCCCGGGGCUCAACCCCGGAACUGCCUUUGAAACUAGAUAGCUUGAAUCCAGGAGAGGUGAGUGGA
rnacentral:rRNA from 1 species